AUACGGAGGAUUCGAGCGUUAUCCGGAUUUAUUGGGUUUAAAGGGUGCGUAGGCGGACCAAUAAGUCAGUGGUGAAAUACAUCAGCUUAACUGAUGCACUGCCAUUGAUACUGUUGGACUAGAGUAUAAAUGGUGCAGGCGGAAUGAAUCAUGUAGAGGUGACAUUCAUAGAUAUGAUUCAGAACACCGAUCGCGAAGGCAGCUUGCAAAGAUAUUAUUGACGCUGAUGCACGAAAGCGUGGGUAGCGAACAGGAUUAGAUACCCUGGUAGUCCACGCUGUAAACGAUGAUAACUCGUUGUCGGCGAUAGACAGUCGGUGACUAAGCGAAAGCGAUAAGUUAUCCACCUGGGGAGUACGAUCGCAAGAUUGAA
rnacentral:rRNA from 1 species